GAUCAUGGCUCAGGAUGAACGCUAGCGAUAGGCCUAACACAUGCAAGUCGAGGGGCAGCACAUGAGUAGCAAUACGAUGGUGGCGACCGGCGCACGGGUGAGUAACACGUAUGCAACCUACCUCUAACAGGGGGAUAACCCGUUGAAAGACGGACUAAUACCCCAUAAGUACAGGGGCUCCGCAUGGAGAUAUUUGUUAAAGAUUUUAUCGGUUAGAGAUGGGCAUGCGUUCCAUUAGCUAGUUGGUGAGGUAACGGCUCACCAAGGCGACGAUGGAUAGGGGAACUGAGAGGUUUAUCCCCCCACACUGGAACUGAGACACGGUCCAGACUCCUACGGGAGGCAGCAGUGAGGAAUAUUGGUCAAUGGAGGCAACUCUGAACCAGCCAAGUUCCGCGUGAAGGAUGAAGGUCUUAUGGAUUGUAAACUUCUUUUGCAGGGGAAUAAAUAGCGGUACGUGUACCGUUUUGCAUGUACCCUGCGAAUAAGGAUCGGCUAACUCCGUGCCAGCCGCCGC
rnacentral:rRNA from 1 species